UACGUAGGGGGCUAGCGUUGUCCGGAAUCAUUGGGCGUAAAGCGCGUGUAGGCGGUCCGGUAAGUCCGCUGUGAAAGUCGGGGGCUCAACCCUCGGAUGCCGGUGGAUACUGUCGGGCUUGAGUACGGAAGAGGCGAGUGGAAUUCCUGGUGUAGCGGUGAAAUGCGCAGAGUAUCAGGAGGAACACCAAUUGCGAAGGCAGCUCGCUGGGACGUUACUGACGCUGAGACGCGAAAGCG
rnacentral:rRNA from 1 species